rnacentral:miRNA from 1 species
UGAGGGUGCCUGGUGGGGCACGGUCAGGACAAUGGAAGAGAGCUGAGAUGAAGCACUGUAGCCGUGGCAGCAGAGGAG